rnacentral:sRNA from 1 species
CUGCCAACCUAUCUAUCACUGCCAAUUUAUCUACCACUGCCAAUCUAUCUAUCACUGCUAAUCUAUUGCUGCUAAUCUAUCACUGCUAAUCUAUCGCUGCUAAUCUAUCGCUGCUAAUCUAUUGCUGCUAAUCUAUCGCUGCUAAUCUAUCGCUGCCAACCUAUCUACCGCGGCGAAUCUAUCUAUCGCUGCCAAUCUAUCGCUGCCAAUCUAUCGCUGCCAAUCUAUCGCUGCCAACCUAUCUACUGCAGUGAAUCUAUCUAUCACUAUCAUUACUAGUUCAAAAUAGAACUAGAGCAUAAAUACACUAAACUUCUUUUGAUAGAUAAUGAUUUUUGGUAACACUCAUAGCAUUAUAUCAUCUAUAUAGGGUAAAUCAUGGUCCCAUUUGGUCCCAUUUUGUUAAAAUGGGACCAAAUGGAACCAGAAUCAGUAAUUUAUAAGAAGAACAUAACCUGGGACU